UUUUACACACUACAGCAGUGUGCGGUUUGGGACGCGACCAUUUCUUCUCACGAGACUCGACGGUUAAAAUUAAAAUGUAUACAUAAAUAACAAAUAACGGUUUUCUGCCAGAGGGAGCUUCUCUUAUCGAAAUGAACCCAUCAGAGUCUGUAAAACAAAGGCCAGGCAGGUCUCACCAAUCUGUUGUCAGCAUGCAGGCCAUUCACAAAUCCACAAUGGAGAAACAGGCCAGAUACAGACAGGAGAGGAAGGCUAGUCUGAUGCCAGCACACCACUACAUAUUUGAAGUCCUGGCUGUUGUGCUUGGCCUGGAAGUUUCGGCGGUUGAAGAUUUAAUUCUUGAUGCCCCAUCAGUAAGUUUUACAGCAGAUUUAU